rnacentral:rRNA from 1 species
AUUGCAGGCUGCAACUCGCCUGCAUGAAGUCGGAAUUGCUAGUAAUCGCAGAUCAGCAUGCUGCGGUGAAUACGUUCCCGGGCCUUGUACACACCGCCCGUCACACCAUGGGAGUCGGUAACACCCGAAGUUGGUAGCCUAACCGUAAGGAGGGCGCCGCCGAAGGUGGGAUUGAUGACUGGGGUGAAGUCGUAACAAGGUAAC